GACUACAUAUAAACCUGCGGGUGAUUCCGCUAUGGCGAUAAACGGUAUUUGGAAUAAGCGUAGUGGACCCGGGGGCAGUGCCCGGCGCCUCCACCAUUGUGUUACUCUUGCUCUUCACGGUAAAGAUUCAUCUCGUUAAAGAGCAGGUCUUUGGGGGCGAAACAGGCUCGACACGCGUAGUAAAGAUUUACUUUUCGCUCGGUAUUGUACCACCGUCAUCGGGCUAUUUUUACAGAUGCCAACGAUAAUUCAGAGGCACUCGCUGUUGCUGCAUAAGCAAUAAGCGCGGUUUGGGGGGCACCGGGCAACAGAAGCCCCCUACUGAAAAAUUCCCAAAAAAAAUCUGACCAAAAAACUUGACCAAAAA
rnacentral:tmRNA from 1 species